rnacentral:rRNA from 1 species
UGGAUCCAGACUUUGAUUCUGGCUCAGGAUGAACGCUGGCGGCGUGCCUAAUACAUGCAAGUCGAACGAAACUUCUUUAUCACCGAGUGCUUGCACUCAUCGAUGAAGAGUUGAGUGGCGAACGGGUGAGUAACACGUGGGCAACCUGCCCGAAAGAGGGGGAUAACACUUGGAAACAGGUGCUAAUACCGCAUAACCAUGAACACCGCAUGGUGUUUAUGUGAAAGGUGGUUUCGGCUACCACUUUCGGAUGGGCCCGCGGCGCAUUAGCUAGUUGGUGGGGUAAAGGCUUACCAAGGCAAUGAUGCGUAGCCGAACUGAGAGGUUGAUCGGCCACAUUGGGACUGAGACACGGCCCAAACUCCUACGGGAGGCAGCAGUUGGGAAUCUUCCACAAUGGGCGAAAGCCUGAUGGAGCAACGCCGCGUGGGUGAAGAAGGUCUUCGGAUCGUAAAACCCUGUUGUCAGAGAAGAAAGUGCAUGAGAGUAACUGUUCAUGUUUCGACGGUAUCUGACCAGAAAGCCACGGCUAACUACGUGCCAGCAGCCGCGGUAAUACGUAGGUGGCAAGCGUUAUCCGGAUUUAUUGGGCGUAAAGGGAACGCAGGCGGUCUUUUAAGUCUGAUGUGAAAGCCUUCGGCUUAACCGGAGUAGUGCAUUGGAAACUGGGAGACUUGAGUGCAGAAGAGGAGAGUGGAACUCCAUGUGUAGCGGUGAAAUGCGUAGAUAUAUGGAAGAACACCAGUGGCGAAAGCGGCUCUCUGGUCUGUAACUGACGCUGAGGUCCGAAAGCGUGGGUAGCAAACAGGAUUAGAUGCCCUGGUAGUCCACGCCGUAAACGAUGAAUGCUAAGUGUUGGAGGGUUUCCGCCCUUCAGUGCUGCAGUUAACACAAUAAGCAUGCCGCCUGGGGAGUACGACCGCAAGGUUGCAACUCAAAUGAAGUGACGGA